UACGUAGGGUGCGAGCGUUAAUCGGAAUUACUGGGCGUAAAGCGUGCGCAGGCGGUUUUGUAAGCCAGAUGUGAAAUCCCCGGGCUCAACCUGGGAACUGCAUUUGGGACUGCAAGGCUAGAGUACGGCAGAGGGGGGUAGAAUUCCACGUGUAGCAGUGAAAUGCGUAGAUAUGUGGAGGAACACCGAUGGCGAAGGCAGCCCCCUGGGUCAAAACUGACGCUCAUGCACGAAAGCGUGGGGAGCAAACAGG
rnacentral:rRNA from 1 species